AGAGUUUGAUCCUGGCUCAGAACGAACGCUGGCGGCAGGCCUAACACAUGCAAGUCGAGCGAACCUUCGGGUUAGCGGCGGACGGGUGAGUAACGCGUGGGAACGUACCCUCUUCUGCGGGAUAGCCACUGGAAACGGUGAGUAAUACCGCAUACGCCCUUCGGGGGAAAGAUUUAUCGGAGGAGGAUCGGCCCGCGUUGGAUUAGGUAGUUGGUGGGGUAAUGGCCUACCAAGCCUACGAUCCAUAGCUGGUUUUAGAGGAUGAUCAGCCACACUGGGACUGAGACACGGCCCAGACUCCUACGGGAGGCAGCAGUGGGGAAUCUUAGACAAUGGGCGCAAGCCUGAUCUAGCCAUGCCGCGUGAGUGACGAAGGCCUUAGGGUCGUAAAGCUCUUUCGCCAGAGAUGAUAAUGACAGUAUCUGGUAAAGAAACCCCGGCUAACUCCGUGCCAGCAGCCGCGGUAAUACGGAGGGGGUUAGCGUUGUUCGGAAUUACUGGGCGUAAAGCGCACGUAGGCGGAUUGGAAAGUUGGGGGUGAAAUCCCAGGGCUCAACCCUGGAACGGCCUCCAAAACUCCCAGUCUGGAGUUCGAGAGAGGUGAGUGGAAUUCCGAGUGUAGAGGUGAAAUUCGUAGAUAUUCGGAGGAACACCAGUGGCGAAGGCGGCUCACUGGCUCGAUACUGACGCUGAGGUGCGAAAGUGUGGGGAGCAAACAGGAUUAGAUACCCUGGUAGUCCACACCGUAAACGAUGAAUGCCAGUCGUCG
rnacentral:rRNA from 1 species